AUUGAACGCUGGCGGCAUGCCUUACACAUGCAAGUCGAACGGUAACGCGGGGCAACCUGGCGACGAGUGGCGAACGGGUGAGUAAUGCAUCGGAACGUGCCCAGUAGUGGGGGAUAGCCCGGCGAAAGCCGGAUUAAUACCGCAUACGACCUACGGGUGAAAGCGGGGGACCGUAAGGCCUCGCGCUGUUGGAGCGGCCGAUGUCAGAUUAGGUAGUUGGUGGGGUAAAGGCCUACCAAGCCUUCGAUCUGUAGCUGGUCUGAGAGGACGACCAGCCACACUGGGACUGAGACACGGCCCAGACUCCUACGGGAGGCAGCAGUGGGGAAUAUUGGACAAUGGGCGAAAGCCUGAUCCAGCAAUGCCGCGUGAGUGAUGAAGGCCUUAGGGUUGUAAAGCUCUUUUACCAGGGAUGAUAAUGACAGUACCUGGAGAAUAAGCUCCGGCUAACUCCGUG
rnacentral:rRNA from 1 species